UUAGUUCAAGCAUGCAGAUCCAUUUUCUGCCACCGAAUACAUUAGCAUGGGAUAAUGGAAUAGGACCCUGUCCUCCUAUUUUCAGUUGGUUUUGGCAGCGCGAGGACUAGGGUAAUGAUUAAUAGGGAUAGUUGGGGGCAUUAAUAUUUAAUUGUCAGAGGUGAAAUUCUUGGAUUUAUGAAAGAUUAACUUCUGCGAAAGCAUCUGCCAAGGAUGUUUUCAUUAAUCAAGAACGAAAGUUAGGGGAUCGAAGACGAUCAGAUACCGUCGUAGUCUUAACCAUAAACGAUGCCGACCAGCGAUUAGGAGACGUUGAAUACAAAACACCACCAUCGGUUGCGGUCGUCCUUGGCGUCUCGGUUUCGGCCGGGGCGCGGGGACGGUUUAGCCCGGUGGCACCGGUGAAUGACUCCCUAGCACUUUUGUGAGAA
rnacentral:rRNA from 1 species